rnacentral:rRNA from 1 species
GGUCGAAAGAGGAAAUUCAUUCGCGUUUCGGCCGUCGAAGUUGAACGUUUAUAUGACGGAUGGCGUUUCGAUGUCGUCUGCGUUUUAUGUUCUUCGAAUCGAUGUCGAACGCGUGCACUUUUCCUCUAGUAGGACGUCGCGAUCCGUUGGGUGUCUGUCUAAGGUUCGAAGUGGAGCCCACGCGAUUUUUUUGAUCGUAUGGACCUUCGAUAUCCCGACAGACUCGCUCGACGGUAAACUAAUGGCGCGAGGCCGCUAUUUCACAAUUAGCGUUCGGCCCGUAGCAAGCACGUUCUGCGUUUGACGGCGAUCGGACCUGGUGCCGAUUCUGUCCCGGAACGACUGUUGGUUACGGUGUUCUCGAACAGACCUCG